rnacentral:lncRNA from 1 species
AUUAUUUAACUAAAACUUUGAAUCAUUUGAAGAAACAAUUGAUUAGUAUAUGAAAACUAACAAACCUUGACCUAUAAGAUGACAAACGGAAUUAAUCUAAACUAACAAUCCCAAACACAUACUAGAUUAUGACCCUUCAUAAUACUGGCUGAUAUUCUCCAUAUUUCCAUAUGCAAUUGGAGAAGACCCAACAGUCCUUUUCAAAAGAGUACCAAAGCCUCAAACACAAGGUCAAUUAGACCCCGACUCAACAGAAAGAAAAAGAGCAAACGAGUUGAUUCUUUCAUGACUUCACUUUGAACCAUUACACAGAUUUAAAACCUAAAGAAUGAAUGACUUAAGUAUUUGUUACUGAAUAACUUCACAGGCCAGGGAUCAACAUAUCCGAUUUGCACAUAACAAGAAAGAGGUAGAAAGGAAGAAUGAAGAGGGAACUAAAUAGCUUAAAAGACAUAUGAAAACUAAAAUCCAAACAAAAGUUCUUUAUUAACUUCUACAGAAACAACCUUCUCAUAAGCACAUUCAAGCCCCAUUUAUCAAUCAAGGUUCGAAUGAGUACCUGGAAUAAUAAGAGAUAAAUAGGGAACUUCAGCAAUAAAAUAGCAAUAACAGCAACUCUUAAACAGCAGUAACCAACAAAUGUCAACCAGCUGAAACCAUCUUUUGAGCCCAGAAGGAGAGUAAUGCAUUCAAACUUUUUAAAAAAUCCUAAAAUAUGAUGAUCAACUCAAUAGACAGUGACUACAGACCCCUUUUUUGUUCUUCUUUUUAAUUUUUCAAGCUCUAUUAGUGAGUGUAGGUUCUUCAGCCGUUUAUGAAUUCUUCAUGUUCUAAUCCCUACUCAUUUCACUGAAAGCAUUCCUUAUAUAGAUAAAUUUAGGGCAGCAGAAAUGAUUCUAUCAUUUUAACAAUCACUCCUUCCCCAAUUUUUAUUUUUUCACUUUUAACCCUGAAAUUUAAAACUAAUUACUGAACUAACCCAAAUCCCUCUUUCCUAGAAGUUUCCCAUUCAGUUUUAAGAAGAUUCUCUUAAUUAAAUUCCCCCAAAUACCCUUGAACCCCCUAUUAUUUACUUCAAGACCAAACAUGGGUCAAGUUGACCCAACAAACAAACCAAAACCCUGGGCUCAACGACCUGAAUGGACCCUUCCCUCUUUGGGCUUCUGACUGACAAAACCCAAGUUUAUUUCAAAGGUCAAACCCACGCGAAAAUAAAUCCGAAGCCAUGAAUCCGAAGAAAACAAAAACAGAAAGAAAUUUAAGCAAAAUUAAAUAAACUAAAAACGUGCUGACUAAGAAUAAUUUAGAAUUAGCAUGCACACAAGUCUAUUGAAAAACAGAGAAAACAAGAAAGAAAAAGCAAAAAAUCAGAAGGAGAUGAGGAUGAGAACAAAGCGAGGGAUGAAAGAAAGAAAAAUGGUCGGAAAAUACCUAGAAUAGGCGGAUUGAAAGUGGCUUGACUGGACCUUCAAACCCUCUAUUUUGAGCCGAAAUUGGCCUUAAUCGUAUGUUCUCGUUGACAAUAGACGAGUAACACCAAUUUUAACCCCAAUCGUUCAAGGAAAACUCGAAGAUUUAGAAAAUUUUUGUUUUCCUUCUUUUUUUUUAGAUCCGGAACUGGAUCUAUUUGGUGAGGAGUUGAGAAGAUAUGGUAGUGGAUUGGGACUAAGGGGUGAGUGGGGGUUGUAUGGUCGAAGUUUGGGGUUGAUUGGGCUCCGCCGCCAGCUGGUGGAGGCUCAGGAGUUUGGAGGCGGCGGGAUAGGGUUCUUUGAACUUGGGGGAGAUGAAGUGAAUUAAAG